rnacentral:rRNA from 1 species
UACAGAGGUCCCAAGCGUUGUUCGGAUUCACUGGGCGUAAAGGGUGCGUAGGCGGUUGGGUAAGUCUGUUGUGAAAUCUCCGAGCUUAACUCGGAAACUGCGUCGGAUACUAUUCAACUCGAGGAAUGGAGGGGAGACUGGAAUUCUCGGUGUAGCAGUGAAAUGCGUAGAUAUCGAGAGGAACACCAGUGGCGAAGGCGAGUCUCUGGACAUUUCCUGACGCUGAGGCACGAAAGCCAGGGGAGCAAACGGG